rnacentral:rRNA from 1 species
GGUUAAGCGACUAAGCGUACACGGUGGAUGCCCAGGCAGUCAGAGGCGAUGAAGGGCGUGCUAAUCUGCGAUAAGCGUCGGUAAGGUGAUAUGAACCGCAACAACCGACGAUACCCGAAUGGGGAAACCCAGUGCAAUCCGUUGCACUAUCAUGUCAUGAAUACAUAGUGGCAUGAGGCGAACCGGGGGAACUGAAACAUCUAAGUACCCGAGGAAAAGAAAUCAACCGAGAUUCCCCCAGUAGCGGCGAGCGAACGGGGAACAGCCCAGAACCUGAAUCAGUUUGUGCCUUAGUGGAAGCGUCUGGAAAGUCGCGCAGUAAAGGGUGACAGCCCCGUACACAAAAAGGCACUUGCUGUGAGUUCGAUGAGUAGGGCGGGACACGUGACAUCCUGUCUGAAUAUGGGGGGACCAUCCUCCAAGGCUAAAUACUCCUGACUGACCGAUAGUGAACCAGUACCGUGAGGGAAAGGCGAAAAGAACCCCGGCGAGGGGAGUGAAACAGAACCUGAAACCGUGUACGUACAAGCAGUGGGAGCACCUUCGUGGUGUGACUGCGUACCUUUUGUAUAAUGGGUCAGCGACUUAUAUUCUGUAGCAAGGUUAACCGUAUAGGGGAGCCGCAGGGAAACCGAGUCUUAACUGGGCGUUAAGUUGCAGGGUAUAGACCCGAAACCCGGUGAUCUAGCCAUGGGCAGGUUGAAGGUUGGGUAACACUAACUGGAGGACCGAACCGACUAAUGUUGAAAAAUUAGCGGAUGACCUGUGGCUGGGGGUGAAAGGCCAAUCAAACCGGGAGAUAGCUGGUUCUCCCCGAAAGCUAUUUAGGUAGCGCCUCGUGAAUUCAUCUCCGGGGGUAGAGCACUGUUUCGGCUAGGGGGCCAUCCCGGCUUACCAACCCGAUGCAAACUGCGAAUACCGGAGAAUGUUAUCACGGGAGACACACGGCGGGUGCUAACGUCCGUCGUGAAGAGGGAAACAACCCAGACCGCCAGCUAAGGUCCCAAAGUCAUGGUUAAGUGGGAAACGAUGUGGGAAGGCACAGACAGCCAGGAUGUUGGCUUAGAAGCAGCCAUCAUUUAAAGAAAGCGUAAUAGCUCACUGGUCGAGUCGGCCUGCGCGGAAGAUGUAACGGGGCUAAACCAUGCACCGAAGCUGCGGCAGCGGACGUAUCACCCAAGCAGAUUCACUGAAGUGGAUAACGAUUGACGGAGCGCAGCGACGUCAAUGCGCCAUCAAAGUCGAGUCGACUUCGGGAUACGUCCGUUGGGUAGGGGAGCGUUCUGUAAGCCGUCGAAGGUGUGCUGUGAGGCAUGCUGGAGGUAUCAGAAGUGCGAAUGCUGACAUAAGUAACGAUAAAGCGGGUGAAAAGCCCGCUCGCCGGAAGACCAAGGGUUCCUGUCCAACGUUAAUCGGGGCAGGGUGAGUCGACCCCUAAGGCGAGGCCGAAAGGCGUAGUCGAUGGGAAACGGGUUAAUAUUCCCGUACUGGGUGUUACUGCGAAGGGGGACGGAGAAGGCUAUGUUAGCCGGGCGACGGUUGUCCCGGUUUAAGCGUGCAGGCUUGAGUUCCAGGCAAAUCCGGAACUCUUUAAGGCUGAGGCGUGAUGACGAGGCACCACGGUGCUGAAGUAACAAAUGCCCUGCUUCCAGGAAAAGCCUCUAAGCAUCAGGUAACAUCCAAUCGUACCCCAAACCGACACAGGUGGUCAGGUAGAGAAUACCAAGGCGCUUGAGAGAACUCGGGUGAAGGAACUAGGCAAAAUGGUGCCGUAACUUCGGGAGAAGGCACGCUGGCGCGUAGGUGAAGCGACUUGCUCGUGGAGCUGAAGCCAGUCGAAGAUACCAGCUGGCUGCAACUGUUUAUUAAAAACACAGCACUGUGCAAACACGAAAGUGGACGUAUACGGUGUGACGCCUGCCCGGUGCCGGAAGGUUAAUUGAUGGGGUUAUCCGUAAGGAGAAGCUCUUGAUCGAAGCCCCGGUAAACGGCGGCCGUAACUAUAACGGUCCUAAGGUAGCGAAAUUCCUUGUCGGGUAAGUUCCGACCUGCACGAAUGGCGUAAUGAUGGCCAGGCUGUCUCCACCCGAGACUCAGUGAAAUUGAACUCGCUGUGAAGAUGCAGUGUACCCGCGGCAAGACGGAAAGACCCCGUGAACCUUUACUACAGCUUGACACUGAACAUUGAGCCUUGAUGUGUAGGAUAGGUGGGAGGCUUUGAAGCGUGGACGCCAGUCUGCGUGGAGCCAACCUUGAAAUACCACCCUUUAACGUUUGAUGUUCUAACCUGGCGCCGUAAUCCGGCGUGGGGACAGUGUCUGGUGGGUAGUUUGACUGGGGCGGUCUCCUCCCAAAGAGUAACGGAGGAGCACGAAGGUCAGCUAAUCACGGUCGGACAUCGUGAGGUUAGUGCAAUGGCAUAAGCUGGCUUGACUGCGAGAGUGACGGCUCGAGCAGGUGCGAAAGCAGGUCAUAGUGAUCCGGUGGUUCUGAAUGGAAGGGCCAUCGCUCAACGGAUAAAAGGUACUCCGGGAUAACAGGCUGAUACCGCCCAAGAGUUCAUAUCGACGGCGGUGUUUGGCACCUCGAUGUCGGCUCAUCACAUCCUGGGGCUGAAGUAGGUCCCAAGGGUACGGCUGUUCGCCGUUUAAAGUGGUACGCGAGCUGGGUUUAGAACGUCGUGAGACAGUUCGGUCCCUAUCUGCCGUGGGCGCUGGAAGAUUGAGAGGGGUUGCUCCUAGUACGAGAGGACCGGAGUGAACGCACCGCUGGUGUUCGGGUUGUCAUGCCAAUGGCAUUGCCCGGUAGCUAAGUGCGGAAAAGAUAAGCGCUGAAAGCAUCUAAGCGCGAAACUUGCCUCGAGAUGAAUCUUCCCUGACUCCUUGAGAGUCCUGAAGGGACGUUGAAGACGACGACGUUGAUAGGCCGGGUGUGUAAGCGCAGCGAUGCGUUGAGCUAACCGGUACUAAUGACCCGUGAGGCUUAACCUU